AAAAGAAAAGAAAAGAAAAGAAAAGAAAAGAAAAGAAAAGAAAAGAAGAAGACAGCAACAGGGAUGAAGCACUUUUUUGGGUUCCCCGUUUUGUGGAUUCACACUUCCCUCCCCUUCACAUAGUUCAGGUAUACAGAGAUAUUUUCAACGAGAUAAAAGGCUUUGUGCCAAACCACAAAAAGAGAAGAAAU
rnacentral:ribozyme from 1 species